UACGAAGGGGGCUAGCGUUGCUCGGAAUCACUGGGCGUAAAGGGUGCGUAGGCGGGUCUUUAAGUCAGGGGUGAAAUCCUGGAGCUCAACUCCAGAACUGCCUUUGAUACUGAGAAGCUUGAGUCCGGGAGAGGUGAGUGGAACUGCGAGUGUAGAGGUGAAAUUCGUAGAUAUUCGCAAGAACACCAGUGGCGAAGGCGGCUCACUGGCCCGAUACUGACGCUGAGGCACGAAAGCGUGGGGAG
rnacentral:rRNA from 1 species